AGCGCGGGCGCAGGCGCCCAGAGGCGCACAGGAGACCUCAGGCCCAGACUCCACUCCCCAGCUGUGAAAGGGUUGCUGGCCAGACCCCCAAGCUAGCCCGCCAGGCCUCCAUAGAGCUGCCCAGCAUGGCUGCAUCCAGUACCAAGAGUUGGUGGGAGACGGGUGAGGUACAGGCUCAGUCUGCGGCCAAGACUCCGUCCUGCAAGGU
rnacentral:lncRNA from 1 species